rnacentral:rRNA from 1 species
AGAGUUUGAUCAUGGCUCAGAACGAACGCUGGCGGCGUGGAUAAGACAUGCAAGUCGCACGGAUUCUUCGGGGUAGCAAUACUUCGGAGAGUUAGUGGCGCAAGGGUGCGUAACACGUGGGCAACCUGCCCGAGAGUGGGGGGAUAGCCCGCCGAAAGGGGAUUAAUACCGCAUUGUGGCUAGUGAAGACAUCUUCACGACGCCAAAGCCGGGGCAACCUGGCGCUCUUGGAUGGGCCCGCGGCCUAUCAGCUAGUUGGUAGGUCACGGCUUACCAAGGCGAUGACGGGUAGCUGGUCUGAGAGGACGACCAGCCACACUGGAACUGAGACACGGUCCAGACACCUACGGGUGGCAGCAGUCGAGAAUUUUUCUCAAUGGGCGCAAGCCUGAAGGAGCGACGCCGCGUGGAGGAUGAAGGUUUUCGGAUUGUAAACUCCUGUCAUUGGUGAACAAGGCCGGCCCUUAACUGGGUGCCGGUUUGCUAGUAGCCGAAGAGGAAGGGACGGCUAACUCUGUGCCAGCAGCCGCGGUAAUACAGAGGUCCCAAGCGUUGUUCGGAUUCACUGGGCGUAAAGGGUGCGUAGGUGGCGGGGAAAGUUUGAUGUGAAAUCUCCGGGCUUAACCCGGAAAUGGCAUUGAAUACUAUUCCGCUUGGAGGGUUGGAGGGGGGACUGGAAUUCUCGGUGUAGCAGUGAAAUGCGUAGAUAUCGAGAGGAACACCAGUGGCGAAGGCGAGUCCCUGGACAACACCUGACACUGAGGCACGAAAGCUAGGGGAGCAAACAGGAUUAGAUACCCUAGUAGUCC